UACCAGCACCCCGAGUGGUCGGGACGAUUAUUGGGCCUAAAGCAUCCGUAGCCGGCCUUACAAGUCCUCCGUUAAAUCCAGCUGCUUAACAGAUGGGCUGCGGAGGAUACUAUAAGACUAGGAGGCAGGAGAGGCAAGCGGUACUCAGUGGGUAGGGGUAAAAUCCGUUGAUCCAUUGAAGGCCACCAGUGGCGAAGGCGGCUUGCCAGAACGCACUCGACGGUGAGGGAUGAAAGCUGGGGGAGCAAACCGG
rnacentral:rRNA from 1 species